rnacentral:rRNA from 1 species
GACGAACGCUGGCGGCGUGCUUAACACAUGCAAGUCGAACGGAAAGGCCCUGCUUUUGUGGGGUGCUCGAGUGGCGAACGGGUGAGUAACACGUGAGUAACCUGCCCUUGACUUUGGGAUAACUUCAGGAAACUGGGGCUAAUACCGGAUAGGAGCUCCUGCUGCAUGGUGGGGGUUGGAAAGUUUCGGCGGUUGGGGAUGGACUCGCGGCUUAUCAGCUUGUUGGUGGGGUAGUGGCUUACCAAGGCUUUGACGGGUAGCCGGCCUGAGAGGGUGAUCGGCCACAUUGGGACUGAGAUACGGCCCAGACUCCUACGGGAGGCAGCAGUGGAGAAUAUUGCACAAUGGGCGGAAGCCUGAUGCAGCAACGCCGCGUGCGGGAUGACGGCCUUCGGGUUGUAAACCGCUUUCGCCUGUGACGAAGCGUGAGUGACGGUAAUGGGUAAAGAAGCACCGGCUAACUACGUG